UUUCAAAAUAAUUAUGUAUUACGUGUGUCAUUUGACAAGAAUGCAUCUGGCUGGUGAUCCCUCAGCACCAAGCAACCUCAGAGGCAAACAGUGGACAUUAUAUAGUCCUGGUUUAACAUUGUCGAGUUUUAGGCCCUCCACCAGAAUGAUUUCCCUGCUUUUAAGGAAAACAAGAUGUGUUGGAAUGGCUUCAGCAUAGGCAGCCACAGACAAGUAAUCAAUUCCAACAAAUUUGAUGUCUGUGUUCUCAACUAGCCAUUUUGCUCCAUCCUCCAAGAACCCAGCAUAGCUUGUGUCAAACUCCUUUUUGAACAUAAGCUUCCUGUCAGUGUUUAAAGUUCUGAAAAGCACCCGGCGUACUCCCUUGGGAAUUUCCAAGGACUUAAUAACUUCAGCUGUUAUAUUGCUUUCCCUUGGAACAUCAACUAACAGUGCUGGACCAUUUAGAACCUCUAAGUCCAGAGUAUCAACAUCGAACCCGGCGUCGUAAUAGUGAUCGUAAACAUGUCCCGGCGCAUCCACAUGGGUGCCGGAGUGUACGGACAACUUGAAUUCUGAGAAGUUGGCCAUGGAGCCAUUCUUCAAGCUUUCAAAGAGGCGGAUAAACAUUCCUAUACCCUCCUUGGAGUCCCACGACGGCAUGUCGCUUACGUACCUGUGGCUGAUGUCUAUGAUUCUUCCGUUGCCGUACACUUCAUUUCGCUCAGGGAAGAGGAGGUCGUCGUCGGUGGAGCUUGCACCGCAGCCGCAGUCAUCGUCGACAGUGGGGUAUGCGGCGUCGGAUGAGGAAGCGGUGAUGGAAUGUAGCAGAGUGAAGAGGAGUAGGAGGAGGAAAUAAUGGCGUUGGCUCAUUGUUUUUGACUUUGUGAUUUUGCUGUGGAGAGGGAAGAAUCUGUUGCGUGUUAUCGGAACUGAAAGGCGU
rnacentral:misc_RNA from 1 species